rnacentral:lncRNA from 1 species
UAUAUAUAUCCUACUAAUAUUUUUUUUGAGAAAGAGGUAGACAAGCUACCUGCUUCAUUCAUUGAGAAAUGAACUAAGCGUACAGUAUGGAAGCAGCUAAGGCUUCCAAGGCGAGCCAAACAGGAAAAAACAAAAGUGGAAAAAAAGGUGAAUAGAAGGUUGAGGAAAAAAUGAUUAAAAAAGGCGGUGCGCGUAGGGUGUUGACAGUGUUUCAGCUCAGGACUUCAUCAGGAGAACAGUACUAGGGAUCUUCAAGCG